rnacentral:rRNA from 1 species
AUUGAACGCUGGCGGCAUGCCUUACACAUGCAAGUCGAACGGCAGCACGGGUGCUUGCACCUGGUGGCGAGUGGCGAACGGGUGAGUAAUACAUCGGAACAUGUCCUGUAGUGGGGGAUAGCCCGGCGAAAGCCGGAUUAAUACCGCAUACGAUCUACGGCUGAAAGCGGGGGACCUUCGGGCCUCGCGCUAUAGGGUUGGCCGAUGGCUGAUUAGAUAGUUGGAGGGGUAAAGGCCUACCAAGGAGACGAUCAGUAGCUGGUCUGAGAGGACGACCAGCCACCCUGGGGCUGAGACACGGCGCAGACUCGUACGGGAGGCAGCAGUGGGGAAUAUUGGACAAUGGGCGCAAGCCUGAUCCAGCCAUGGCGCGUGAGUGAUUAAGGCCUUAGGGUUGUAAAGCUCUUUUGUCCGGGACGAUAAUGACGGUACCGGAAGAAUAAGCCCCGGCUGACUUCGUG